AAGUCCUUCUGUUGAGAGCUCCGGCCUCUGCCCUGGCUUUCUCAAGGGCCAUGACUGUGCUACCAGAGCAGCUGCCCCAAGGCUAAUCUCUCACCCAGACCAGGUGGUGCAUAACAGCUCCUGUCCACAUGGCUCAGAGGUCCUUGUCCUGUAACUAUGGGCUGAGGUAGCACAGUGCUGGAGAAGCUGUGACCCGUCUGCACACUGAUCAGAAAGCAGACAUAUGCAAGGUGAUUGUCCAGCCAGGUUUUGGGGCUCUCGCACUGAAACUUAUCUUUGGAUCUCCUUUCUCCAAUUUGGGUUUGUGUAUUCACAAUGAAUAUCACCAGAGCAUCCAGGAGAAAUCAAUACGUCCCCAGUACCAAUGGGCCCAGAAGCUUUUUGUGUAGGUAACAAUGAAGUGCUACACGUCAUUUACCACUUUAGCUCCACUUACACCUUCAAUAUUUAAAUCACCUGAGGUGAGUUGACUCAUGAUAAUGCAUAUAAAGCAAAGCCAUUUAGAUUCAUGUGAAGAUUUGGGAUCAGUUACAUGCCUCUGAAGUCAGCAGGGUCCAAAAUCUGACACAGUGCAUAUCCAGAGGAACACCCUCCAGAGACCUUUUGUGUUUGCACUUUUUCUGUGGACAAAGCUGGCAAUUUAUGCUUAUUUUUUGAUAUUGGACAUUAAAGCUAGUGCAUUGCCUGGAUCAAAAUCUUUGUGCCAGAGAGGAUUUUAAU
rnacentral:lncRNA from 1 species